AGAAACAUGUUGAACAGGCAGUGCUUUGCUUGCAAUUCCCGUUAGAAAUAAUGACUUUCUCAUAAAAGAUUGUCUGUGCUGUAUUGUCAUGUGAUGGAUUGCUGGCUGACUGAAUAGAAAGAUGAAAACUUCGUUUUCUCUGAGUAUUUGGUUCUUUCUUCACUGUUUCCAUCCCAGGGGGAUCGCACGAGGUAGCCGGAAUAAUGAUCCAAGCUCUAGCCCACCACCUGCAAAUAUAUCAUU